rnacentral:rRNA from 1 species
GACAGCAGUAGCCGCGGUAAUACGAAGGGUGCAAGCGUUACUCGGAAUUACUGGGCGUAAAGCGUGCGUAGGUGGUGGUUUAAGUCCGUUGUGAAAGCCCUGGGCUCAACCUGGGAAUUGCAGUGGAUACUGGGUCACUAGAGUGUGGUAGAGGAUAGUGGGAUUUCCGGUGUAGCAGUGAAAUGCGUAGAGAUCGGAAGGAACAUCUGUGGCGAAGGCGACUAUCUGGGCCAACACUGACACUGAGGCACGAAAGCGUGGGGAGCAAACAGGAUUAGAUACCCCGGUAGUCCCUGUCUCUUAUAC